AGAUUGAACGCUGGCGGCAUGCCUAACACAUGCAAGUCGAACGGGAGUAGCAAUACUCUAGUGGCGGACGGGUGAGGAAUACGUAGGAAUUUGCCCUUAAGUGGGGGAUAACCCGGGGAAACCCGGAUUAAUACCGCAUGACCUCGAAAGAGCAAAGUGGGGGAUCGCAAGACCUCACGCUUUUGGAGAAGCCUACGUCGGAUUAGCUAGUUGGUGAGGUAAUGGCUCACCAAGGCGACGAUCCGUAACUGGUCUGAGAGGAUGAUCAGUCACACCGGAACUGAGACACGGUCCGGACUCCUACGGGAGGCAGCAGUGGGGAAUAUUGGACAAUGGGCGCAAGCCUGAUCCAGCAAUGCCGCGUGUGUGAAGAAGGCCUUCGGGUUGUAAGACACGUUUAAGUUAGGAAAGGAAAAAACUACGACUCGUAACAACAGUGAGUCUUGACGGUACCGAC
rnacentral:rRNA from 1 species